AGACAGAGAUACAGAGACGUUGAAGGGCACAGAGAGACACCGACACACGGAGGGAAACGGAGAAAGAAGCUGAGACAGGAUCGUGGGCCAGCGAUGAGGACCGGGGCACACACCAGCACGGGACGGGACGCGGGGCGGCGACUGAGUGAACUUUCCGGAGCGGGUCCGAGUGGACACGUCCUCACGGGACAGGGCCCUGGUCCAGGAAGAUCCCACAUGCCGCAAAGCAACUCAGCCCGUGCACCACAACUACUGUGCCUGCGCUCUAGAGCCCACGAGCCACAGCUACUGAAGCCCAUGCGCCAAGAGCCCGUGCUGCGCAACAAGAGAAGCCACCAAAAUGAGAAGCCCGUGCACCACAACAAAGAGUAGCCCCCACUCGCCACAGCUAGAGAGAAGCCCACGCACAGCAACGAAGACCCAAUGCAGCCAAAAAAAUAAUAAUAAAAUAAAAUGAACAUAUUCUUUUCAAUAUUCAA